rnacentral:rRNA from 1 species
UGGGGAAUAUUGCACAAUGGGCGCAAGCCUGAUGCAGCCAUGCCGCGUGUAUGAAGAAGGCCUUCGGGUUGUAAAGUACUUUCAGCGAGGAGGAAGGCGGUAAGGUUAAUAACCUUAUCGAUUGACGUUACUCGCAGAAGAAGCACCGGCUAACUCCGUGCCAGCAGCCGCGGUAAUACGGAGGGUGCAAGCGGUAAUCGGAAUUACUGGGCGUAAAGCGCACGCAGGCGGUCUGUCAAGUCGGAUGUGAAAUCCCCGGGCUCAACCUGGGAACUGCAUUCGAAACUGGCAGGCUAGAGUCUUGUAGAGGGGGGUAGAAUUCCAGGUGUAGCGGUGAAAUGCGUAGAGAUCUGGAGGAAUACCGGUGGCGAAGGCGGCCCCCUGGACAAAGACUGACGCUCAGGUGCGAAAGCGUGGGGAGCAAACA